AGAAAGUGGGUAUCGCAGAGGGUUUUGGCCCGUUUUGGCCGUUUUCCCGAGCCCGGAUGCUCGGCCCGCUUUGAGGAAAGUUGAUCCUCGCGUCGAGCCCGUCGUUUUGAGACCUGGAUGAGGAGCCUAAGAAGCAUGAAUCUAAUGAGGAGAUCCCUGUUGAGGAACCCAAAGAGGAGUACGUGGAGGAGGACCCCGAGUAUGACAUCGAGUAUGACCCGGAUGAGGACCGAGAUCCUAUCCUGUCUUGUCAGACCUUGUUUGAAUGUAAUAAGAUGUAGUUGUGAACUUUUAGUAUGAAAAAUGUAUGGCCUACUUUUCUA